GACGAACGCUGGCGGCGUGCCUAACACGUGCAAGUCGAACGGACUGUUGUCCUUCGGGACAACAGUUAGUGGCGAACGGGUGAGUAACGCGUGGGCAACCUGCCCUAGAGACUGGGAUAACAUCCCGAAAGGGAUGCUAAUACCGGAUAUGCUCUUAGUGUUGCAUGACACAGAGAGGAAAGAAAUUCGCUCUAGGAUGGGCCCGCGUCCCAUUAGCUAGUUGGUGAGGUAACGGCUCACCAAGGCCACGAUGGGUAGCCGGUCUGAGAGGAUGAACGGCCACACUGGAACUGAGACACGGUCCAGACUCCUACGGGAGGCAGCAGUGGGGAAUCUUCCGCAAUGGACGAAAGUCUGACGGAGCAACGCCGCGUGGGUGAUGAAGGUUUUCGGAUUGUAAAGCCCUGUCUGGAGGGAAGAAAUAUUGACGGUACCUCCGGAGGAAGCCCCGGCUAACUACGUG
rnacentral:rRNA from 1 species